rnacentral:lncRNA from 1 species
CCCGGGAGGCAGAGCUUACAGUGACCCAAGAUCGCGCCACUGCACUCCAGCCUGGGAGACAGAGCGAGACUCUGUCUCAAAAAAAAAAAAAAAAUUUAGGCGGGCGUGGUGGUAUGCACCUGUAAUCUCAGCUACUUGGGAGGCUGAGGCAGGAGAAUUGCUUGAACCUGGGAGGUGGAGGUUGCAGUGAGCUGAGAUUGUGCCACCGCACUCCAGCCUGGAUGACAGAGUGAGACUCUGUCUCAAAACAAAAAACAAAAAACUAACAAAAAAAAAAAAAAAAAGAGAGAAACCAGCAUGCUUUUAGUACAAUGUUAGAAAAUUAUUUAACAUAGCCAUUUCGACAUCUUAAAUAUUUUGCAGGUAGAGACGGUCCCUGACAAUGGUCCACCUUUAAGAUGGCGUGAAAGUGCUAUAUGUUCGGUAUAAAGCUGUAUGAUACUCUUUUGACAUGCUGGGCCAGUCGCUGUCAGCCACACCAUUAACUGUGUUGCUCAGCUGCGGGAAAAAAAAAAAGAAAAUCUCCUGGGCAUACUUGUAUCCUGCUUUGGUGACACAGAACUCUAAGCAUCCUAGGUUAGGAUUUGGAGCAUUAGGGAGCAUGCUGAGGAUGGAAGGGGAGUGGGAAAGUGAGCCACAGGUGCACGCCUAGGCCUCAACUGUCAGAGGGCUUCUUCUUAACUUGUUCCAGGUAUGGUUAAUGCUGUCUUGUAGAUGAGUAUUACUGUUAGCUGGAUUCCCAUUAACCAACAUUUUUUUGACCGACACUUUUGCAGUUUUCGAAUCCCUAACUCAAGGGACAAAACUUUUUAAUUGACUUCAGCCAGGUUUUUUUACCACUGGGAUAAAUUUAGAUUUUAUUAUGCACACACACAUCCUUUUAAAAAAUAUCACCCAGCUUUAUAUUUGUAUCCCAAAUAUUUUUUCGCAGCUGUAGAAUUCUCACCUCGGCUGUGCUUUUGAGAUGUGCUAAUUCUACCAUACAGUGCUGGCUGGGCAGUCACUUGAAAUGAGGGCUACUAUUUUUUCAAUUCAAUUUCUUUUCUUUCUUUCUUUUUUUUUUUUUUCUUUUUGAGACAAGAGUCUUGCUCUUGUUGCCCAGGUUGGAGUGCAAUGGCACGCAAUCUUGGCUCACUACAACCUCCGCUUCCUGGGUUCAAGCAAUUCUCCUGCCUCAGGCUCCCGAGUAGCUGGGAUUCCAGAUGCACACCACCACGCCGGGCUAAUGUUUGUAUUUUUAGUAGAGACGGGGUUUACACCAUGUUGGCCAGGCUGGUCUUGAACUCUUGACCUCGUGAUCCAUUCGCCUCGGCCUCCCAAAGUGCUGGGAUUACAGACAUGAGCCACUGCACCUGGCCUGUUCAACUCAAUUUCUAAGCCCAUAGGUCUCCUUCAGGCUUUGAAAUAGCCAAGAGACCAAGCUCCCAAGAUAUGUGUGAGAAACUAAAGUGUGCAAGGACAAGAGAAGCUCUAAGAUGAAUAGAUUGUCUUGUUUCAUUUAUACUGCAAUUGCUAAAAUGACAUGCUUUGGGGACAUUUG